CGAACGGGAUCCAGGCAGCUUGCUGCCUGGUGAGAGUGGCGAACGGGUGAGUAAUGCGUGACCGACCUGCCCCAUACACCGGAAUAGCUCCUGGAAACGGGUGGUAAUGCCGGAUGCUCCGACUCCUCGCAUGGGGUGUCGGGAAAGAUUUCAUCGGUAUGGGAUGGGGUCGCGUCCUAUCAGGUAGUCGGCGGGGUAACGGCCCACCGAGCCUACGACGGGUAGCCGGCCUGAGAGGGCGACCGGCCACAUUGGGACUGAGAUACGGCCCAGACUCCUACGGGAGGCAGCAGUGGGGAAUAUUGCACAAUGGGCGCAAGCCUGAUGCAGCGACGCCGCGUGCGGGAUGACGGCCUUCGGGUUGUAAACCGCUUUUGAUCGGGAGCAAGCCUUCGGGUGAGUGUACCUUUCGAAUAAGCACCGGCUAACUACGUGCCAGCAGCCGCGGUAAUACGUAGGGUGCAAGCGUUAUCCGGAAUUAUUGGGCGUAAAGGGCUCGUAGGCGGUUCGUCGCGUCCGGUGUGAAAGUCCAUCGCUUAACGGUGGAUCUGCGCCGGGUACGGGCGGGCUGGAGUGCGGUAGGGGAGACUGGAAUUCCCGGUGUAACGGUGGAAUGUGUAGAUAUCGGGAAGAACACCAAUGGCGAAGGCAGGUCUCUGGGCCGUUACUGACGCUGAGGAGCGAAAGCGUGGGGAGCGAACAGGAUUAGAUACCCUGGUAGUCCACGCCGUAAACGGUGGAUGCUGGAUGUGGGGCCCGUUCCACGGGUUCCGUGUCGGAGCUAACGCGUUAAGCAUCCCGCCUGGGGAGUACGGNCGCAAGGCUAAAACUCAAAGAAAUUGACGGGGGCCCGCACAAGCGGCGGAGCAUGCGGAUUAAUUCGAUGCAACGCGAAGAACCUUACCUGGGCUUGACAUGUUCCCGACAGCCGUANAGAUGCGGCCUCCCUUCGGGGCGGGUUCACNNUGGUGCAUGGNCGUCGUCAGCUCGUGUCGUGAGAUGUUGGGUUAAGUCCCGCAACGAGCGCANCCUCGCCCUGUNNGCCAGCAC
rnacentral:rRNA from 2 species